rnacentral:lncRNA from 1 species
CCCGGACACUCUUCCAGCUGAUCAAAACUCUGGAACUGGAAAAGCACAUCUCCGACGUUUUUGUUUUACUCCACUCUGACACUUUUCAUGAACAACGUCCAUUGUUUAUUUAGUGUAUUAUUGUGUUUGUGAAAAUAAAAGGCUUUUCUUAGCGUAACUAGACAAGUGAGUGGUAAGCGGCUCUGACUGAGUCAAGCUGUGAAGAGCGAGUCAGAUUUUCCAAUAGCUCAUUUAUGAGAAGCACGCGAGCUCCUUUUCUGUCUGCUGAUCUACAGUAGUCUGACUCUGUAAGUAUGCUGAUGCUCCAGGACACAAUGAGAAGCACUUGUUUGUCCUGGUGCCUUUUCCUGCUGUUUGUCUGGUACCCAGCACGCAGCAUAGUGACGGCGCUUGAGCUGGAGGAUUCGGACCGGGACUGGGGUUCUGGAUUACACGAACUCCUAAACAGCUUUCCAGCUGAUAGUCCAUUUGUCAGAGAGACGCCCGGCAAGCCGGCCAACUGCACUCAGCGCUUCUGGCUUCCUCCAUCCUCCCCUGUGUGCUGGGAUGAUAUAGCGGGUCCAGAGGAGUUUGAGAAAUCACGCCUUCUCGUGCUGCAGAACAGGGCAGCACUACAGGCUGUAUCCACAUCUAGUGGUCUCGAGGAGGGGGGUGCGUCCUAUGAUCAACAGGCCAGGGAGAAUGUGCAGGGCGUCCGGGCUGACCAUCUCGCUGUGGCCCAGACCACCGAUACAAUGCAGAAGGUGUUCACAGAUUUGGAUGAGAAGAGGAAGGAGGGGGAAGAGCAUUAUACCUUCUCAAGUCUGAAGGAGCCCAUUGAAAACACGAAAGACUUCAUUGCUAAAAAGGAACAAGUAGCAGCACUUCUAGAGAAACAUCUUGCCAAUCUGGAAAGGUCUUUGAACACUAUGCAACUUCGACUGGCCAAACUACUACCCCAGUAAUUUAAUUUGAGCAACACAACCUACACAUGUGGAAAAUAAUAUAAUGCAUGUUUAUUAUUACAUUUUAUCAAACAAAUAAGACUUGUAUCCCCAUAUACUGCAUGCCAACAGCACCCUGUAUUUCUCUUUUGGUACAUAUUUUCCUCUUGUUUUUCCAAGUAAAUGGGAUAAAUAUUAGGUACUGGCAAUAAAAUAUAUUUUUAUACCUCCAGACUAUAGACUGUUCCCUAAAAAUGUAAGGUACAAUUAUAUUACAUUGGAUGUGUGUGUGAUAAUAAAACUACAGCAAUAGUUCACUUUCAAAUGUUUUGCAUGUCAUAAGCCCCUUUUGCACAGUAAAUUGCCGUAAAAUUACAGAAACGACUUUACCGUAUAUACGAAAAAAUUUUGUUUGCACAGGCAACAAUAUUCCGUCUUUUUACCGGUAAAGCACCAUUCACACAUUAGUUUCAAAAUACCGGUAAAUAUUGUGAAUAAAUAUGAACUGGAAACGACCUCUAAACGGCUG